UUUGAAGAAGCCAUUGAAAUAGCAAACUUUUGAGUCAAGAAAAUUCUUCUUCAGCCCUUCCUUCUGAGAAGACAUAGUGAAAAUAAAAUAAAAUUCCAGUACUGUGGCUUCCUUCGUGGGUGAGCUUUCUCUCACAUCACUCGCUCUGAGGUGCUGAAUGAAUAAUAGGAAUCAGGGAAGAAUGAGGAAAAAAUACAUGAAUUUCAAAAAAUGUUUCUGGAAAUUACCAUCAUGCAAUUAUGAUCUUAACACUACAUAAAAUAAUGGAAUAAAUAUUUUAAAAGAAAAAUAUGUAGCCUCUAAAGGAUGAAGGAAUUCGGACUAAUCAACAACAGUGAUGAAUUAUAAAUAGUGGACCUUGCCAGAUUGGUGUUCACCAUCUCCCAAUGAAUUCCCCAAUAGGCAAGUAGCUUUGCCUGGUUUUGAACUUUAUCUGCAUAGAAUCAUAAUGUAUAUGUUAUUUUGUAUUGACCUCUCU